rnacentral:lncRNA from 8 species
AUCUCAAUGGUUGAACUCAACUAUCACUCAAGCUUUGACCAAUUCCCAGAGGUUGUAAGGCUCUGGUUAAUGAAGAAUUAGACAAAGUCUCAGAUUCUGCAAUAGAUCAAUACUUUAUUCAGAGAGCGCUCUGUCUUCAAAAUGAGAACACAAUCUUUUUAUAGCACACACACACAAAUGAACUCACAUCAGUAGAAACGCCACCUCUCUUUAGGUGGGCUGUAUUUUUCUAAAGUUCACAUACAUUGUUUAUCACACUUCUGCAACAUGUUUCAUCAUCUUCUGCAAGCCAUUUCUAACAGUUUUUCUCCUCCCAAGGGUGGGGAGGCCUCUUUCCAGUUAUUAGUUUCACCGUUAUCACAAGUCAACAGUUCAGUUGUCCUUGAAUGUCUCAACUAUACCCAGCUCAUAUUGCGAAAUAGUAACACAAUGGCCUAGUCACACACAUUAUUGGAUUAUGACUCUAACACAUUUCAUACAAUUAUAUGGUUUCAGGGUGGAAUACUUUAGUCAUUAUCUUAAACAUACAAAUUCUUCUAUCAGGGACCUAGACAGACACACAGACACACACAGACACACAAACACACACGCACACACACACACACACACACACACAAACAAACCAGAGAGUGUGAGGACAGGAAGGCCACAGCGCUCCUGGAGACCCAACAGAAUCCUAUUGUUCCUCUCUGUCAAGUAUACAACUAUCUCCCGUGUCCGUUUCUUCUCAGUCACUUUCACACCCGGCGGAACAAUAAAGCUGCCCAUUGAGAAGACAAGAGCCAAACAGGACAUUCUAUCUCUCUGCUUCUCUCUCGCUCUGUGCUUCUCUCUCUCUUUCUUCUCUCUCUCUGCUUCUCUCUCUUUCUGCUUAUCUCUCUCUCUGCUUCUCUCUUUCUCCUCUUUCUCUUCUCUCUUCUCUCUCUUCUUCUCUCUCUCUCCAUGCUUCUCUCUCUCCAUUUCUGCUUCUCACUGUCUCUGCUUCUCUCUCUGCUUCUCUCUCUCUGCUUCUCUCUCUCUUUCUGCUUCUCUCUCUCUGCUUCUCUCUCUCUGCUUCUCUCUAUCUCUGCUUCUCUCGCUCUCUGCUUCUCUCUCUCUUCUCUCUCAUCUCACUCUUUCUGCUUCUCUCUCUCUCUUCUUCUCUCUCUCCCUGCUUCUCUCUCUCUUUCUGCUUCUCUCUCUCUGCUUCUCUCUCUCUCUGCUUCUCUCUCUCUUUGCUUCUCCCUCUUUCUGCUUAUCUCUCUCUCUGCUUCUCUCUCUCUCUGCUUCUCUCUCUCUUUUCUCUCUUCUCUCUUUCUGCUUCUCUCUCUCUUCUCUCUCUUCCUGCUUCUCUCUCUCUUUCUGCUUCUCUCUCUCUCUGCUUCUCUCUCUCUGCUUCUCUCUCUGCUUCUCUCUCUGCUUCUCUCGCUCUCUGCUUCGCUCUCUCUGCUUCUCUCUCUCUCUGCUUCUGUGUCUGCUUCUCUCUCUCUUUCUACUUCUCUCUCUCUACUUCUCUCUCUCUGAUUCUCUCACUCUCUGCUUCUCUCUGCGUCUCUCUCUCUCACUCUCUCUGCUUCUCUACUUCUCUCUGCUUCUAGUGUGCUUAGUUUUUUUAAGGCCAAAUAGCAUUCUAGUUUGCUCUCUCUCUCUCUCUCUCUCUGAUUCUCUCUCUCUUUCUCUGCUUCUCUCUCUCUCUGUUUUUUUCUCUCUCUCUCUGCUUCUCUCCCUCUCUCUCUCUUUGCUUCUCUUUCU